AAAUUGGCUAAAAUUGGCCAAAAAUGGCUAGUUCGAGGUAAACCACCGUCGUAGGUGGCGGUGUUGCCGUGCUAGAAUUUCAAAAUUGGCCAAAAAAAGUUCUAAACACCGAUUAUGGGUCUUUUGGGGUAUUUUUAAGUACGUGAAGCGUGUUUUAACCUCUGCAGAAAAAUUCAAGAAACCUAGGGACCGCUAGUAGGCACAGUUAAAAGUUUGGUGUUUCGAACACUGAUUCGAGUAAGAAUCUCUCACCUUAUUCUCUCUUAUGGAAU
rnacentral:lncRNA from 1 species